UGUUUCGUUGAGUUAUUGAGCGGAUUCCGUGAUCAUUUCUGCAAGCAACUUGACAACAGCACUGUGGGAAUUCGUUCCACAAUUAGUAGGUUGUCACAAUUUCUGAAAGAACAUGAUGAAGAGCUUUGGCGCCAUCUAGAGAUCACAACUAAAGUAAGAUAUCUUUGCAAAAUUCAUGCUUAUUGUAUUGUUUCGGUUAUCUUAUCAUACGUUGUCAUCUUUUUCAUUCGACUCAUGCUUGCCUCUGUCAACUAACCCCACCUAGGAGUGUAAUUGAGCAAGUUGAGCUCAAGCUCUACGAAGUUUGAGUGAUCAACUCGAAACUCAGGGCUUGAUGUUUUGCUUGAGCUUAAUCAAAUUUCAUUUUUAAAGCUUGAACUUGAUUAGAUAUAAAAACCGAAUUUCUUGAACUUGCUCAAUUAAGCUUAUUUACCUAGUAAAAGCUACGUUUAAUCCCAUGCUCGACUUAAAACAUGAUUUGUUUAAUGCUAAAGCUUAACUUAGAAUUUAGAAAUAUCAAUACAAAUUAAGAAUAAAUAUAUAUUAAUUAAAAAGUUUGAUUAGUCUUGCAAGCUAUCUGAGUAUUAAAAUACUUGAAAUCAACUUGCUCAAUAGCUGGAGCUGCUCGAAAAUUAGCUCAAGCUUGAUUAGAAAAUGACUGAGCUGAAUUGGAGUUUUUUAAGCCAAAUCUGAAUAGCAUGUAUGGCAUCUUAUUUACACCUCUAACCUCACCUCCUCUACAAUGUGACCCCCAGUCCCUCAUCAUUUCUUGCCAAUUCAAGUAGUUCAGCUUAAUGCUAAUUGCUGUGCAUAAAUAUCACAGGUCAACCCCCAGUUUUAUGCAUUUAGGUGGAUUACUCUGCUCUUGACACAAGAAUUCAAUUUUGCGGACAGCCUUCAUAUCUGGGACACGCUUUUAAGUGACCCUGAAGGUCCUUUGGUAUGAUCCCUCUCUAGAUUUUUACUCAAAGCUUGUUAGGUUGAUAAAUGGUUGUAGUAAUUUGGGAUGAUUUCACAAUCACUUUCUGUUGUCUUUGAAAUUUGUUCAAAUGUCAUAGGGCUGAUGCGACCCAAAUUGUACCUAAUUUUGGAGUCGUAAUUGGAUUCUUCAAUUUUUCCAUCUGUUUUGCUUUGAUCAAAUACACAUGAUUACUUAGGCUUGGGGAUGUCUGUAUUGCUCUGAGUCCUCAUUUACCUUGAAUUACCAGUUGCCGACACUCUUGUCCGAUACAUAUUUGGACAUUGGUACGGAGAUAUCCCCCACAAAAUAUGUGAAAAAUGUUUAGAAAAGUUAAAUAUACUUUGUUGGACACAUAAUCAUGUAUAAUACUAACACUGAAUCCAAGUAGCGUAGGGGAUUUUUAUGGAUUCUUCUAAA
rnacentral:lncRNA from 1 species